rnacentral:misc_RNA from 1 species
CAUCUGGGUGUGUGGGUGGAGUUAUUUUGUUGAUAUUGCGCAUUCUCAAGUAUCAGGACUGCAAUUCUUGCGCAUUUCCUAUUACUGCAUGUGUAGCUUUUUGAGAUGUUUUCUUCAAUUUUGUAACUUUCUGUCUCAUCUUGAACUUGUUUUGUGUUUCAUGAGUUGAUUUGUUUUGCUCGAAUUUGCUUUUUGUAGGAGAGAACAAUAAAAUUUCAGGUAAAUUCAUCCUGAAAAAGCUACACAUGCAGUAAUAGGAAAU